rnacentral:rRNA from 1 species
CCUACGGGCGGCAGCAGUGAGGAAUAUUGGACAAUGGCCGCAAGGCUGAACCAGCCAAGUCGCGUGAAGGAAGAAGGAUCUAGGGUUUGUAAACUUCUUCUAUAGGGGAAUAAAGGUAUCCACGUGUGGCUAUUUGCAUGUACCCUACGAACAAGCAUCGGCUAACUCCGUGCCAGCAGCCGCGGUAAUACGGAGGAUGCGAGCGUUAUCCGGAUUUAUUGGGUUUAAAGGGUGCGUAGGUUGUUUUUUAAGUCAGCGGUGAAAGUUUGUGGCUCAACCAUAGAAUUGCCGUUGAAACUGGAAGACUUGAGUGUGUUUGAGGUAGGCGGAAUGCGUGGUGUAGCGGUGAAAUGCGUAGAGAUCACGCAGAACUCCGAUUGCGAAGGCAGCUUACUAGGCCAUAACUGACGCUGAGGCACGAAAGCGUGGGGAUCAAACAGGAUUAGAUACCCCUGUAGUC